UGUAUUAUUUGGUUAAGUAAAAGAAUUUCAAACGAGAUCUCUAUGAAUGAGAUGUCUGGAUCCUAUGCUGAAAUUUUGCCCCUUUUGUUUUCUUUGCUCCUCGAUUAUGAUAUUGAGUUGAAGUGGAGAUACAUAAGUUGAUGGUAGAAUUGAGGUUGAAUGUCUGAUAUCUUACAAGUUGAGAUUUUGGUUUUAUUUAAAUUCUUAUUUUCAAGUUUCGAGGACGAAACUUUUGAUAAGGGUGGUAGUAUGUAAUAGCCCUGUUUUUGAGAACGUUUUAUUAAUGAUAAUUAUAUUUAUUAAGUUAAUUAUAUUUCGAAAAUAUUUAUUUUAUUUGUGACGUGGAAUGUGAAUUAUAUUGUCGUGCUCGUAAUAUAUAUAUAUUUAUUUAAUUUUCUGGUGUUAUUAUUGAUAUAUUUUGGAUUUUAAGUUUAAGUUGAGCGGUAUUUGACCCAAAUAGGAAGUCAAAGUUGGUCUUGCACCUCCCCUUUUGUCGGUUUAAGAAAUAAAACCCCAACCCAAUUGUUUUCUUCUUCCCCGUAAAACCACAAACUCAAAAUGAAACCCUCCCCUGUUCUUUUGCUCGACGAACCGAAACCCCAACCCCAGCGAAACCCCAGCGAACCUGACCUCCUCUUUCUCGUUCGCCGUCGCCGCACGACUCUCUUGCCUCACCGGAGCCGUGUCGAACCACCGCAGCGCUGUCGUCGCUGCUGCUCUGUUCUCGUUUUCCCCCUAUUCGCGCUGCUGCUGCGCCGGUGUUGCUGUUGUGUUGACGAUGUCGUCGCGCCUUUACCGGUGAUGGGUCGCGCAUCCUCUUUGGUGGUGCGACCGUGAAGACAGCCCACUGCUCGUGUUCUCCCUCUUUUGCCGUCGUUGUUGUUGUUGUUGUUCUAGCGGUGCUGCCGUGAUUGUUGUUGUUGGUUGUCGGUGAUGUUGUUGCACUGUUUCUUCUCUCUCCUUUCGCUGGUUGUUGCUGCCGGAGCCGACCCCUCUCCUUGGCGUGUCUUCCCUGCUCUUGAAGCAGAGGUAAAUACUAGUUUAUUCUCUAUUUUUCUCUUUAAAUUCUGAUUUUCUUAUUUGUUAAUUAAUCCCAAGUUGAUGUUGUUAUUGUUGUUAUUGCUCUGUUGUUUGUUGUCGUUAUCGCACUAUUGUUACUGUUGUUUUAAUUAGUUAUAGGAGUAGUAGUUAUUGAUUGUUGUUCUGUUGUUGGUGGUGGAGGUGGUGGUGUUGUUGUUGUUCUAUUGGAUUGUUGUAGUAGUUAUUGGUGGUUGUUCUGUUUUUAUGCACCUGUUGUGGUUGGAGUUAUUGUUGGUCCUGGAGGUCUUAGUGUUGUUGUUGUUAUGAUUGUUUGUGGUUGAUGCUGCUGUUGUAGUUGUGGUGUGGUUGGUGUGGUUGUGCUGAUUGGUGGUGAGGUUGUAUGUUGGUUAGAAUUGUGAUUAUUGGAUGGCAAGUUCAGUUUACAUAAGCUGUAAUUAGGGAGUUGAAUGAUAACUGUAUGUAGAUUUUAUGUUGAGAAGGCGUUAUUCUUCUAUGUCCUAAAUCUAUUAGUUUGAGAAUUGAGUAACUAAGGUUAUUGUCAUAAAGGAUCUGUAAAUUAGGAAUUAGUUAUGGUCUCGCUCUGCAGUUUAGAUUAGUUUAAGAAUAGUUAUUAAUUAUCGAUAUUGUUGUGAGGUGAUUGUGAUUGUGGAGUUCAAGUGAGAGCUGGUGAUCAAAUUGUCGAUGGACUUAGAGGUUCAUUAGUAGAGAAUUGAAUUGCAGUUCAGGUUGGUAUCAAGAGCUCCAGAAUGGAAGUGAAGCAAGAUUAUGAUGUCGACAUAGGUUUAGGAUUGAGUUUGUAUAUAGAUAGCUGAUUUGAAAAUAGUUAUUUAUGUUUCGUUGUAUAUGAUAUUUAGAAUAUUAUUGGAGAUAUUGGUGUAUUUAAGGAUA